rnacentral:rRNA from 1 species
AGAGUUUGAUCAUGGCUCAGGAUGAACGCUGGCGGUAUGCUUAACACAUGCAAGUCGAACGAAAGUUUUUAACUUUAGUGGCGAACGGGUGCGUAAUACGUGAGAAUCUGCCCUUAGGAGAAGAAUAACUGCUGGAAACGGCUGCUAAAUCUUCAUAUGCCGAGAGGUGAAAUAGUUUAGGCUGCCUAAGGAUGAGCUCGCGCCUGAUUAGCUAGUUGGUAAGGUAAUGGCUUACCAAGGCCACGAUCAGUAGCUGGUUUGAGAGAACGAUCAGCCACACUGGGACUGAGACACGGCCCAGACUCCUCCGGGAGGCAGCAGUGAGGAAUUUUCCGCAAUGGGCGAAAGCCUGACGGAGCAAUACCGCGUGAGGGAUGAAGGAUUUUGGUCUGUAAACCUCUUUUCUCAAGAAAGAAGUUCUGACGGUACUUGAGGAAUAAGCAUCGGCUAACUCCGUGCCAGCAGCCGCGGUAAUACGGGGGAUGCAAGCGUUAUCCGGAAUCAUUGGGCGUAAAGCGCCUGUAGGUUGUUUACUAAGUCUGUUGUUAAAGACUAGGGCUUAACCCUAGAAAAGCAAUGGAAACUUGUAGACUAGAGUAUGGCAGGGGUAGAGGGAAUUUCUAGUGUAGCGGUGAAAUG